GCCGAUUGUGAAAUAAUACCCUCUCCGCGAGAGCACGCGGGUCCUAAGGUGGAGAAACGGAUCGGGUCGGGCUCAGUUAUACGACACCGUUUGGAGAGCCAUUAGGCAGGGCCUAAAACGGUGUCGUUCGAGGUUGAAUAAAAGGGCUAAAUCGACAGCUUUGGCCUAGCCUAAACCCUAACAUCAUUUCUUUUCUUUCCAGCAGCCCCUAAGCCUCUCUUCUCCAAUACCAAGCCACAACCAUGUCAAUGGCCGGCAUCCUCAGGCUACAUGCGAACACUUUGUGGCCUUGAGGUUCCCCUUUAGUCUCCGAUUUCGGCGAAGCAAAAGAGAACUGAUAGCCUAUUUUCCAGGUACGGAGGCCCGUUGGCGAGUGUACGAGGCUGUACUGGCGUACGAGGGCUGUUGACGUGGAGGCACGAGCGGUGUUGAGGCUGUACGACGGUUGAAGGCUGCGGCGCGAGGAGUGAGCCCUAGGGUUUCUGCUCUUGAAAUGUUUCGGGCCUUUUGGGCCGAUGUAACUUGGGUCUGAGUUUGUAUUUGGGUCUUGGGUCUGUUGUGAUUUAAAUUUUUGUCUUGUAUUUGGGCUAGAUUUUGGUUAGGGCUGUGCACGGUAAAUGGACUGUAAAGGGACAUUUAAUUUUUAUUUGGGUUUUAUGCUUAUUUUUUGGUUUAUUUUGUUUUGUUUUGUGUUUGCAAUGGGCCGGGCAAAUUUGGCUUGCUACAACAAGUUAUGAAGUUGAGCAAUACCAAACACUAGUGGACGCCACUUAAGGCACUCCUCAAAAUUAUCUCAACAA